CAGCCCAGUGCGCGGCCCGCGCGAAGUCCUCUCUCCUUACUCAGCCGCCCUGGGGGGCUGCAGGGGAGGCUGCGGGCCGUGGGGGCCGGAGGAGAAGCCGGCUCCACGUGCAGCUGCUUCGAAAGCAAGCCUUCUGAAUGCUUUUUCAAAAAAAUGCUUUGUCACAUGUGGAAUCCGCAGGCAUCCAGGUUUCAUUCCUUGCAGAUCUCUUCCAGCAAGUAUGAGGCUAAAACCUCGGGCGGUUUAAUAUGUAAUCUUCUCAGGUGUGAACAUUUUGUUUUCUAUUUCUACCACUUAGUACCAAACAUUUAGGCAAAUGAGAUAGUUGUGAAAAUUAAAUCCAUGGCUUAGUAUGUUUUAUAUGUAUAUAUGUUAUUCUAACACAUCUGACCCGCUUUGUCUAUAGAAAUGAUGUAUCGGUGUAGGAUGGGUUUAGAUAGGACAAAUGAAAUUCAAUUUAGAUUAUUUUAUAGUUCUUAUAUUUUUGAAAAUAUAAUCCCCUCAAUUUUCUUUCUUCUUUUGUAAAAUAAUGUGUUUCUGAAAUAAUGAAUAGCUCCCUUUUUGAUUUUAAGGGUCUGCUUUUUCUGAUGUACGCACAGUCAGCCUAUUUAUUUGUUCCAUCCCCUUUGCAAUUUGGCAGAACCUUAUGAAGAAGCUUCCCAAACUGAACCACAGUGCUUUCACUCUAUUAGCAAAUUGUACUAAAGAUGCCAGCGUAAUGAUGAGUGCCAAGGUUAUAGACAUCCUGCAUUUUUUAAAUGUUGCUAAAAUGAGAUAAAAGCCUUAUGCAAAAGCAACCGCAGGCACCCCGCAGGUAGUGCUAUCGAUUUCCCUAAUAAGUGGGAAAUGCUUGGGGAACCUUAGAUUUGCUGUUGGUUCUGUUGAAAUGAUGUAAAAAGUGUUGCUAGACAUCUUCUUUGUUUUCCAUAGACCUGUCUCUUAUUUAUCUAUUUACCUUUGAAAUAGGACAGAGGUUUACUAAACAGUUUGGCCAUUAUAGUUUUAACCUAAUAUUUUACCUUAUGGAAAUAAUGGAGUAAUUUGUGUUUUUAUGUUCAUAUUAGUUUUUUUAAGUACUGUUAAAGAAUGAAUAGCUAUUUUUGAGCACAUAUUUGUUCAACUACUGAGUCUCCAGUGUAACACAGGGCACUAAAAUGCUUUUGAGAAAGAGGUGUUUUAUUGGUCUGAAUUUACCUGUUUAUAUUAAUUAUAUGUACAGGGAAAUGUCUUCUUCACCAGUCACAGUGGCUUAAAUGUACCCACUUAUUUCAUGUGUUUUCAUGCUGUUGCCUAGAGAAUCAUUUUAUAUUUUCUCAAAUGUUAAUAAAGAUAUUUUGAAGAAGCUGCUACUUUUUUUAUCCCCAUAUUUCACUGUAAAGACAAACACUUCCGUUUUUAAUUAUUUUAGCCAAUUAUUUCUUUUUGUCUUUCAAGGUGAUCGUUAUUUCCUUUGUUUGAACCGGAGAUCCUGGGAUUCCUUUACAAAAAUUACUUAUAAGGAAAUGUCAUGCAACCUUUAUCAUGGAAUUAAAAAAAAAAUCCAAACACAA